rnacentral:lncRNA from 1 species
UAAAUUUUUCGUAAUAUCUUAUCUAAAUUUGAUUUUACAGCAGCUACAACACCAGAACAUUGAUAUAAAUGCUUUGGUAACAAAGUUGGAAAGACUGGAGAAUAAAUUCAUGUUCCAGAAGAUGAAAUUUGAUCCAUCCAAGAAAUUGAAUGUGAUGAAGAUAGACAUGGCAAAACUUGAAUGGUACAAGAAGCAUUGUAAAAGUCAAGGUAGUGGGUACUAUGACUGCUUCAAAAGGGGCGUCUCAACAAUUGACCAAGAUGCUGUUCAGUGGCAGAAAAACCUCAGAAACUACUGGAGUGACAUGGUUGAAGAGGCAGAGAUGAAACCUCAGACAGAAGCAGCUGCUUUUCGUACUCGCUGGCUUUUUUCUGGAACUAACUACAGGAGAAUGGUUGAGCCUCUAGACAUUGCUGAAUACUAUGCAAAUGGUCUUCGUAAGGACUAUGAGGCUAAAGGAAGGUCUAGACAUUAUGUAGUGUUGGAGAAGUGGCUGGAAGAAGAUAAGAAAGAAAAAAGUGAUUCAGAGGGCAAAACUAAAAAGAAUGUGGAAUUGAUUUUAACCAUUGAUUCUUGCUUUUGGGCAAAGCUUGAAGAGGCUCUCCUUUUGUGUGGAGAGUUGGAUAAUUUGAAAGAGAAUGUAGAGGCAAAAGGGAAGUUGCUUGAAUUUGAGAACUAUGUUUAUGAAUCACUCAAAAAGUAUGAAGUGUCACCAGAGAUUUUCUUGAAGGGAAGCAGUUACAUGACUUGGUGGAAUAAGUAUAAAGGGUUUGCAGAUAAUCAUAGACUAGCAAACUUCAUGAGAAAUCCUCAGCAUUUUGAUCAGUAUACUGAGGGAGAUUAUUCUUUCACCUGAAGUACAGUGAAUGCAAUGUGUGGUUGAUUGUACAAUAAAUUAUGAUUUGAUCGUUCUACAUUUCCUUUGUUGAUUUUGGUAGGAAUCUUAGUUUUACCAUCCCUUGUGAUGUCUUAUGGGAAACUCUUGCAAUUGUCUUUCCCUUGUAAGCUUUCACUCUCGUUGUUCUCGAAAAUUUAAGUGUAAUGGAAGCAUUGUAACGCCCUAACCUACUUUGGAGUUACAUUAUUACUAAUCACUUCACUAAUCACUAACGUAAAUAGAUAAUUGUUGUUUCAGAUUUUGCUUGGAUAUUGUGUUUCAAUACUACUUCUUUCAUUCUUUCUCCACUAUUCAGUUGUCAGACACGGCGGAAAAGAUACAACCACUUCUCUAGGCAUGUUGUCGGUACGCCGUGGACCGGAGCUGUUACAUUUUGCAGCUUUGCAAAGAGAAAAAGAAAAAACAGAGUUGCCUUCUAGGAAGAAUAAAGAAGAAGGAAAGAGAGAGUAAAAAAAGAAAACUACUUUCAAAAGGUUUUUUAUUUAAUAAUUUAAUAAUUUAAUUAUAUUAAUGAUUCAAUAUUUUAUUAAAUUCUGUUUUUUCUGAAGUUUAAAUUUUUUUAUUUGAACAUGAGAUUUAAUUCCAAUUUUUUUAAUUUAAUAAAUUUAAAUCUAUAUAUGAUUUAUAGGGCACUUUUAUAUUUUCAUUUAUUUUACACAAAAUUACAAAUUUUAUACUUUGGAUCUCUCUUUCUAAAACGAUAAAUUAAAGUUUUAUUAGUUGUUAAAAUAAUAAAAUAUCAUUUAAACUUUUACUUAAGAAAAGAAAAUAAAUUUUAAAUCAUUUUUUACAAUAAUCAUAUUAAAAUUACAAAUAUAACAUAAUAUCAAAUAAUUAAUAAUUUAAUAUUAUUUUUAAAGUAUAUAAUAUAUUAUACUAUAAUUAAUUUUAAUUCGCGACAUGUUUUGUUUUUUAUAUUUAAAUAAUUUAAUUUCUAUUACAUUAAUUUAUUUGACACGAUUUUAUUUUUAUGUUUAAUUAAUUUUUUAUGUUUAGAUUAUUUUUAUUAUAAAAGAUUAAGAUAAAUAUAUCUAAUUUAAAUAAAUUAAGAUUAAUUUUUUUAUAUUUAAUUUAUUUUAAAUGUUUCUUACUUUUUUCUUACAUUAUGAAAUAUAUUAGUACAUAUAUUGUUGUAUCCGUCUCCUAUAUUUUUUCAGUUUAGUAGUAUCUUUGUGUUUGGCAAAUCCGUGUAUAUGUAUAUCUUCAGAACAUAUAUAGAUUUCACAUGUGUUUAGUAGUAUCUAUGUGUUUGGCAGAUCAUUAUCUUUAAUUAAAUGAAUCUUAUGAAUCAAAAUUAGAUUUCACAUGUAAAGAAAUCCAAAAUUUCAUAGAAAGAUAAUAUUAGAAUAAGUCAAUUAAACAUAAACUAAAAUGUUUUAAUAGCAAUUGCGAAAACAUAAACCAUAACCAUCCAACAAAUUAAAAUACUUUAUAUAUAUAUAUAUAUAUAUAUAUAUAUAUAUAUAUAUAUAUAUNAUAUAUAUAUAUAUAUAUAUAUAUAUAUAACACUCAAACUUUCCUUCCACUUUCUAUGUCUUUACACCCAAAUUUUCCUUUCACUUUCUAUGUCUUUACGUAGUAAGUUUCGUCAAUUUAUGAGAAAAAAAAUGCAAAUGCCGAGAGUUGACUUGAUUUACCUCAUACUACUGACUUCAUCUUCAUAUCAUUGAUCUAUUAAAACCAUAAAAUUCUCAAGAAUUCACUGCAUUACAAGUUUCUUCCUUCCUUUUGCUAUUUUAUAACAAAACAAUUCUCCUAUUCUUUACACCUCUCAUACUUCCUUUCAAAUUUCUCACUCACACAACCACCAUGAGCCUUACUCAAUCGUAUGUCACACCUUAACUCUUCCUACACUCAAUUUGUUUAUUGGGUUUUGUUUUUGUGUUUCAAAAGUCAUAAACUUGGAACACUUGAAUUGAUCCUAUGUAACCAACAUGUUUGUUUGUUUGUUUCUUUGUGUCUGAUUAACUUUAUGUUGUGAACUUCUUGUGAUUGCAGAUUUAGCAGUGGAAUUGUGCAAGCACCCUUUGUCACAAGCUCUCGUCUUCUUCUAAAAACAUGGGGUGUUAUCUCGUCACGUGAUGAAGAUGUGGUUCACCACGUGGGGAAGGGAUUGGUCUGGAAAGUUUGUGAGGAGUCGGAUUUGACGGUUGUGGUGUUUGACGUCAAGAAUGAUUUUGAUCUUCAACAGAAUUUGGUUUCUUCUACCUAUCUCAAGGAGAACAAUAAUUUCCACCGCUUUGAGUUUCUAUGUACGAAGAAAAUUCUAGAGUUCUCUGUUAACUGGUCUGCUGUUUCGCUAUUCAUUGACAAUUUUGAGAAGCUUGAUCAGUUGAAGUCCAAGGUACAUCUCCUCCUUCCCCUUUCAUUAUUCUGUGGUUUCUAUUUGAAAAAUUUACUUUUUUUGAAAACCAAGUAAAUUUUGAAAGUUGAAGUCAAACACACUUCGUUUCUUUAAUUUCCUGGAAUUUAUUGUUCUUCCUAUGUGAGCCCUUGUAAAACUGUUAUAUUAAUGCAGAUUAAUAGCUCCCAUCGACUGAUUGUUACUGGACAUGGUGUUGGAGGAGCAAUAGCUUCUCUCUUUACUGUGUUGCUUUUAGAAAGCAUUGGCACAGGAAAGAAACGUCCUCUCUGCAUCACCUUUGGUUCUCCCCUUAUUGGUGACAAAAAGUUGCAGGAAGCCAUAUCACGAAGUUCUAUAUGGAAUUCUUGCUUUCUACAUGUUGUCUCUUACAAAGACUCACUUCCAAAGAAGUUGAGUUCCCAACCAGUUGAUUACAUGCCUUUUGGGACAUUUCUCUUUUGUUCUGAUACAGGUGCCACUUGUUUUGAGAACCCCGAGUCUGUUUUGGAACUUCUUGUGAGCUCAAUCAGUGGUCAAAGUCAAGGUUUUGAGGUCGCAGAUUAUGGAAAACUUGUUGAAAAUCUAUAUCGUAAAUCGAUUUGCAAGAACUUGAUCCCACGGGGGCUGAACUUGACACAUUCUACUUCACUGAAUUCAAGUAUCCGUUUUCAGUUGUCUGCAGCACUAGGAUUGUCAUCUGAUAUUCAGGUAGCUGAAUAUGUUUUAAGUUCUAAGCAUUUAAAGUAAGAACAAAACUUAUAAGUAAUACUAUAAGUGUCGUUUUCUCAUCGAUUCAAGAGUUUCAACUUGAUAAUAUGUGAUGACAUUUAAUGAAAUACUUCAUCACACAUGUUACCAACAUGAAAUUCCAAAUUUGAUUACAGAACAAUAUCUAUGAUUCUGCAUAUGUAUGCUCUCUAAAUCUGAUCAGUCUUGUGUGUAACUAGACUAGAAUUUAAUGAGUAUAUAUCUUCAUCAUAUCAUCUAAAUUUGAUUUUACAGCAGCUACAACACCAAAACAUUGAUAUAAACGCUUUGGCGACAAAGUUGGAAGCACUGGAGAAGAAAUUCAUGUCCCAGAAGAAGGUGAAAUUUGAUCCAUCCAAGAAAUUGAAUAUGAUGAAGAUAGACAUGGCAAAUUUUGAAUUGUACAAGAAGCUUUGUAAAAGUCAAGGUAUUGGGUACUAUGACUGCUUCAAAAAGGACACCUCAACAGAUGACCAAGAUGUUAUUCCGUCGCAGAAAAGGCUCAGAAACUACUGGAGUGACAUGGUUGAAGAGGCAGAGAUGAAACCUCAGACAGAAGCUGCAGCCUUUCGUACUCGCUGGCUUUUUGCUGGAACUAACUACAGGAGAAUGGUUGAGCCCUUAUACAUUGCUGAAUACUAUGCAAAAGAUCUUCGUAAAGACUAUGAGGCUAAAGGAAGGUCAAGACAUUAUAUAGUGUUGGAGAAGUGGCUGGAAGAAGAUAAGAAAGAAAAGGGUGAUUCAAAUGGCAAAACAAGAAGGAAUGUGGAAUCGAUUUUAACCUUUGAUUCUUGCUUUUGGGCAAAGCUUGAAGAGGCUCUCCUUCUGUGUGGACAGCUGGAAAAUUCGACAGGGAAUGAAGAGGGAAAAGGGAAGUUGGUUGAAUUUGAAAAUUACGUUUAUGAAUCACUCAAAAAGUAUGAAGUUUCACCAGAGAUUUUCUUGAAGGGAAGCAGUUACAUGAGUUGGUGGAACAAGUAUAAAGAGUCUGCAGAUAAUCAUAGACUAGCAAGCUUCAUGAGCAGUCCUCAGCAUUUUGAUCAGUAUACUGAGGGAGCCUAUUUUUUCCCCUGAAGUGCAGUGAAUGCAAGUGUGGUUGGACAAUAAAUUAUGUUUUAAUCAUUCCACAUUUCCUUUGUUGAUUUGGUAGGGAUCCUGGUUUUGCCAUCCCUUGUGCUGUGUUUGUUCUAUUGGAAACUCUUGCAAUUGUGUUUCCCUUGUAAACUUCCACUGUCAUUGUUCUUGAAAAUUUGAGUGUAAUGGAAGCAUGAGGCUACUAAAUGGUUAGUGAUGAUGUAAUCUGAAAGGCUAGGUGUGAAAGAUGGACUUUUCAGCAGAUGAGAUCAUUAGGUUAAUUUUGAGGCUUGUCAUUGUUAUCAUUAUCCUAGAUAUAAACUUUACAGCAAGAGUUUAAUACAAUUUAUGGUAAUGGAUGGGUAAAACUGUUUAUGACAGCAACAAAUUUAUUACACAUGACAGAUAAUUUGUGUUUGAAUAAUUACAUAAAAGGAUUGUUUAUGAUUGGAUCAUAAUAUAAAAAAAAUGUCCUUAGACAGCAUUUUGAUUAAAUUCCAAUUUAAAAGUGGCAUUUCUAAUAUUUAAGACAGCAUUGUAAAAUUAGUUUAACAAUUCAUAACCACUUUUGUCAUCCUCCUCUUUGGUGUAAGAAAAGUAUUAAUUAAAAUUAGUUACAUUUCCUUGUAGAGGUGUAGAUAUAACACAC